rnacentral:tRNA from 1 species
GGGGGUGUGGCUCAGUUGGAAGAGCGAUGCGUUCGCAAUGCAUAGGUCAGGGGUUCGAAUCCCCUCAUCUCCACCA